rnacentral:rRNA from 1 species
UACGUAGGGCGCAAGCGUUGUCCGGAAUUAUUGGGCGUAAAGAGCUCGUAGGCGGCUUGUCACGUCGGGUGUGAAAUCCCCGGGCUCAACCCGGGAACUGCGUCCGAUACUGGCAGGCUUGAAUCCGGGAGAGGGAUGUGGAAUUCCAGGUGUAGCGGUGAAAUGCGUAGAUAUCUGGAGGAACACCGGUGGCGAAGGCGGCAUCCUGGACCGGUAUUGACGCUGAUGCGCGAAAGCCAGGGGAGCAAACGGG